rnacentral:pre_miRNA from 1 species
AGAGAUAUUACUGUUAGAUAAAUUUCAUUUCGAUGUGAUUGAUUUAAAAUAUCUCACCGGAAGAAUUUGUCUGACAUUUAUCUCUAUUGC